CUGGCAGAUGCCAGUCUUAAGACUUGAUCUCAGUAUCCCACCACUCUCACGGUUGAAAACACCCAGCCUCCACCACUCUCAUCAUCCUUCUAGGUUUCCAGACACAAUGAAUUCUAGGUCACAAAUUGCGUCUCCAGGUUUCCCUUUGACGAUUUCUUUGAUCUGGUCGUCCAAUUGGCGCUCUUUUUUCUCCGAUAGUCUAUUUGUGUUCCGGUGGUAGCCUACGGUGGUUUUGGCCACUGCUUCUUCUGCGCUUUCGUUUGUUCAGGCUUCUACAGAACUCUUGUACUUUAUUUCCCCUAUGCUAAGCCAAGAAAAACAAAUCUUAACAGUAAGCGUAAAGUAAAACAAGUGGUGUUGCAUCUCUUUGGUUGCUUAGAGAAGAAGAAGAAGCAAAGAUCGAAGGUCAAACCAGGGACUACUUUGAUGGGCUAGCGCCAAAGUGUCACAUUGAAUAAAACUCCGAGGUAAUAGUGUGACUGAUGAGUUUGUAGAGACCAAGAUUACAAAUAUCUUAACGGCAUCGACAAGCAACAUCACACCGUAAAGAAAACGUUGAAUGACUUCCUUCAACAUUAUUGCAGUAUAUUGUAGUUGACUCUUGGAUAUCUAUAAUACUAUAAAAAGGAGAAGUGAUGUACGUAAAUGUAAUUUUACAUUGCAUCCAACUCUUAAAGCAAUAUGUACAAUUAAUAAAAGCUUGUUUUGUAAGGCUAAAAUUGUAAAGAGGCGAAUAUCUUAAGACGCUGCGAGAGUAUAAAAGUAAAUUCAAGGAACAGCCAUACUCACAUGCUCAAAUUCCUUUCCAUCGCUGCCCUUAAAGAAACCUAAUCGACAUUCCUCUGAAUCAAACCGAAGAUUGAAUGCUACGCAAAUGAAACGGUGAAACGGUGGGAAACAAUCAAUCAUGAUUUGAGAUAUAAACAUGCAGAUACAAGAUACAGGGACUCAGGGACGGAUCAUUUUCUCUUUCCCUUCCAAACCUCUGGAUCGCGUCAUCCGAAUUCCACAUCUGCAACCACAAAAGGGCUCUUUAAAGUCACCGUUUCACCCUUUCACUAACCCUAAAAUGACUGGUUCUGAUAUUUAGAUUCUGCGCAGAGAUUAUCUUCCACGGUUUGAAUCAGUUAUUUAAUGAUGAACUUGUACAGGUCAUGGGCAUGCUCGGAUCAAGUCUUUGGGAUGUUUUGAGUUCAUUAGGCCAAUCUUAAGAUGAAGAAAAUUUCGAUGCCAUAGUUGUGCAUAAUGUUUUCUUUUCGUUAAUUAUUUUCUUCUGCAAGAUGACACCAAACUCGACAGCUUGUGCAUCGAAAGCUUUGUUGUGGUUUUCGUUUUUGGAUAUAAAGUAUCGGAUCAGGUUGAACCGGGUAUAUGCUAAGCUAAACUAUGGCGUAAGCUGGAAUUACCACUGUGGCUUCUGGAGUUGCAAAGGGUAAUGCUUAUAUCAUACAGGUACUCGAUUCAGUUAUGUCAAUGGGUGGGUUGGUAAGUAAAUGUGCUAAGAUGUGUUAGGUCUGGUCGGGUCGGGUCGAGUUGACCUCAAUUAGGGAGUGUCAAAGCAGGUACUUAAUUAGGGCAUUUCAGCUUUGGUUUGAAUUGUUGGGUCAUUUCUUGUUGCGGAUUACUCAUGGACUCAUGGUAAAUCAGUACCCUCCUCCCCCGGCCCUCAUUUCAUUAAUUUACAAAAAAAAAAAAUUCUAUUUACAUAUAGUGGAUACGGUAUUAGAGAAUGAUUGCUGGUGAUCUGCAAAAUAUGGUGGUACUAAAAAGUUGUAAAACACUUUAUUGGUGAUCUGCAAAAUAUAGGUAAGGUGUAGAAAGAUGGAAAGGUUAAGUGAUAGUUCUGCUAUAAUGAUUGUACGUGACGCGUUUAAAUCUGUACAGUUGAAGACAUAUUCGCACAUUUCUGUUUUUAAGCUCAUGUUUCCUAGGCUUACUUUCUUACGUCUGUGCAGUGCCCCGAUUCAAGAGGAGAUCGGGUUUCUACCCCCUUCUUUGACUAGGUACAUGCGUUUAUAGUGCUCAAUAUUGGUGAGUUCUUUAACUUUUGCAUUGGCUCAUUUCAAUAUGCAGAGAAUGUUACGACUUGUGUUUCUUGGGAUGGUAAUGCGAACGGUUUAUGCGUAGUCAAGAAACUUACCGUCAUAUAUGCUCUUACACAGCCUUUGGAAUGCCUUUGUGAUCAUAGAUCUUAUGACGUAGUUUGUUCCUUACGUCUCAUUUUGCCAAUUUAUUUUUCUACUUUUGUACAAAAAUAAUGUUUGGGAUUAAUAAUUGAUACGUAUUUUUUUAUUUCAGUACAGAGGAUAACAUCAUCGUCUUGUAGCAUUAGAACUAAACCAGAUUGUCUCUAGGUUAGUUUGAUACAAAAAUAUUGUCAUUUGUUUAUGGAUCACAAUGUAAAUUUCCAGCACUA